rnacentral:rRNA from 1 species
GGAUGCAAGCGUUAUUCGGAAUUAUUGGGCGUAAAGCGUCUGUAGGUGGUGAGGAAAGUGUUUUGUUAAAGAUCAGGGCUCAACCCUGGGAAAGCAGAGCAAACUAUCUCACUUGAGUUCGGUAGGGGCAGAGAGAAUUCCCAGUGUAGCGGUGAAAUGCGUAGAUAUUGGGAGGAAGACCAGUGGCGAAGGCGUUCUGCUGGGCCGUAACUGACACUGAGAGACGAAAGCUAAGGUAGCAAAUAGGAUUAGAUACCCUAGUAGUCUUAGCUGUAAACGAUGCACACUAUGUUUUGCAAUUUGCAGAGCAAUAGCUAACGCGUUAAGUGUGCCGCCUGGGGAGUACAUUCGCAAGGGUGAAACUCAAAGGAAUUGACGGGGACCCGCACAAGCGGUGGAGCAUGUGGUUUAAUUCGAUGCAACGCGAAGAACCUUACCAAGAAUUGACAUGCUGCGAACAUUUAUGAAAGUAAAAAGUCUAUUAACUUAGUUAAUAGCGCAGACACAGGUGGUGCAUGGUUGUCGUCAGCUCGUGCCGUGAGGUGUUAGGUUAAGUCCUGCAACGAGCGCAACCCUUGUCUUUAGUUAUUUACUAGAGAGACUGCCGGUGAUAAACCGGAGGAAGGUGAGGAUGACGUCAAAUCAGCAUGCCCCUUACAUCUUGGGCGACUCACGUGCUACAAUGGUCGGGACAAAGAGAUGCUACCCUGCGAAGGCAAGCUAACCUCAAAAACCCGAUCUCAGUUCGGAUUGCAGGCUGCAA